rnacentral:sRNA from 1 species
UUUUUGGGGUACUAGCAGAAGAUG